rnacentral:rRNA from 1 species
GGAGGGUGCAAGCGUUAAUCGGAAUUAUUGGGCGUAAAGGGCGCGUAGGCGGAUUAGUAAGUUAAAAGUGAAAUCCCAAGGCUCAACCUUGGAAUUGCUUUUAAAACUGCUAAUCUAGAGAUUGAGAGAGGAUAGAGGAAUUCCUAGUGUAGAGGCGAAAUUCGUAAAUAUUAGGAGGAACACCAGUGGCGAAGGCGUCUAUCUGGUUCAAAUCUGACGCUGAGGCGCGAAGGCGUGGGGAGCAAACAGGAUUAGAUACCCUGGUAGUCCACGCUGUAAACGAUGAAUGUUAAAUAUGGGGAGUUUACUUUCUGUAUUACAGCUAACGCGUUAAACAUUCCGCCUGGGGACUACGGUCGCAAGAUUAAAACUCAAAGGAAUUGACGGGGACCCGCACAAGCGGUGGAGCAUGUGGUUUAAUUCGAUGCAACGCGAAAAACCUUACCACUCCUUGACAUGGAAAUUAUACCUAUUCGAAGGGAUAGGGUCGGUUCGGCCGGGUUUCACACAGGUGC